rnacentral:rRNA from 1 species
UACGUAGGUGGCGAGCGUUGUCCGGAUUUAUUGGGCGUAAAGCGCGCGCAGGUGGUGCGGUAAGUCCUGUGUGAAAUCUCCCGGCUCAACUGGGAGGGUGCGGAGGAGACUGCCGGAACUGGAGGCAGCUCAGAGGCCGGGUGGAAUUCCCGGUGUAGUGGUGAAAUGCGUAGAGAAUCGGGAGGAACACCAGUGGCGAAGGCGGCCGGCUGGGGGUGACCUGACGCUGAGGCGCGAAAGCGUGGGGAGCGAACCGG